rnacentral:rRNA from 1 species
CCGGUAGCUACGUUGGGAUCUGAAAAGCGCGGAAAGCAUCUAAGCGCGAAGCAGGCCUCGAGAUGAGUUCUCACUAGACUUUUAAAGUCUCUGAAGGGCCGUUGAAGACUACAACGUUGAUAGGCAGGAUGUGGAAGUGGUGUGAGCCAUUAAGCUAACUUGUACUAAUUACCCGUGAGGCUUAACCAUACAACGCCAAACGCGUUU